GGUGCCGUAGCCUAGUGGUUAAGGCGAUAGACUAGAAAUUUUUUUGGAUAUUCCCGCAGGUUCGAAUCCUGCCGACGACG
rnacentral:tRNA from 1 species